AACGAACGCUGGCGGCAUGCCUAACACAUGCAAGUCGAACGAGACCUUCGGGUCUAGUGGCGCACGGGGGCGUAACGCGGGGGAACCUGCCCGUAGGUUCGGAAUAACUCCCCGAAAGGGGUGCUAAUACCGGAUAAUGUCUUCGGACCAAAGAUUUAUCGCCUUUGGAUGGGCCCGCGUUGGAUUAGCUGGUUGGUAGGGGAAAAGCCUACCAAGGCGACGAUCCAUAGCUGGUCUGAGAGGAUGAUCAGACACACUGGGACUGAGACACGGCCCAGACUCCUACGGGAGGCAGCAGUGGGGAAUAUUGGACGAUGGGCGAAAGCCUGAUCCAGCAAUGCCGCGUGAGUGAUGAAGGCCUUAGGGUUGUAAAGCUCUUUUACCCGGGAUGAUAAUGACAGUACCGGGAGAAUAAGCUCCGGCUAACUCCGUG
rnacentral:rRNA from 1 species